rnacentral:rRNA from 1 species
UACGUAGGUGGCAAGCGUUGUCCGGAUUUACUGGGCGUAAAGAGCGCGCAGGCGGUCGUUCAAGUCGCGUGUGAAAGCCCCCGGCUCAACUGGGGAGGGUCACGCGAUACUGAUCGACUGGAAGGCAGGAGAGGGUAGUGGAAUUCCCGGUGUAGUGGUGAAAUGCGUAGAUAUCGGGAGGAACACCAGUGGCGAAGGCGGCAUCCUGGACCGAGAUUGACGCUGAGGCGCGAAAGCUAGGGGAGCAAACGGGG